UAGAAAGUAGUAAAAAUGGAAUUACAGAGGGUUUUGAUCUCUCAGGUGUAGGUUCAAUUCCUAUCUUUCUA
rnacentral:tRNA from 1 species